UCCCUGGAGGACUAGUGGUUAUGCUGUCACCACUGCGGCCCAGGUUCGAUUCCCGCCCAGGGAA